UCGAUAUUUCUGGUUGAUUUUUGUUGUCGACGUUUGAUUUUUACAUCGUCUUUGUCGUAGUUUGCUUUAGUCCGUGUUUAUUUUUAAGUUUUUCGAUUUGUUCCUAUUUAUCGAUACUACAUAGUUUGAUUUCUUCUUUUUUGUCGUGAUGGUGUCUACGAGGAAGAGCAUGGAGGGAAUGGGGGAUAAGAACCUUGAUAGGAAGAGGAAAAGAGUUUCAGAUGAUUAUU
rnacentral:lncRNA from 1 species